AUAGAGACUCAGAGCUGCAUAUCAAUAAGCGGAGGAAAAGAAACUAACAAGGAUUCCCCUAGUAACGGCGAGUGAAGCGGGAAGAGCUCAAAUUUGAAAUCUUAAAGGGUUUCCCUUUACGAAUUGUAGUUUAAAGAAGUGUUUUCUGUUGGAGUUUCGGUAAAAGUUCUUUGGAAUAGGACAUCAUAGAGGGUGAGAAUCCCGUAUUUGACCGUUACUUUCCAGCUGUGUGAUACACUUUCAAAGAGUCGGAUUGUUUGGGAAUGCAGUCCAAGAUGGGUGGUAAAUUUCAUCUAAAGCUAAAUAUUGGCGAGAGACCGAUAGCGAACAAGUACCGUGAGGGAAAGAUGAAAAGAACUUUGAAAAGAGAGUUAAACAGUACGUGAAAUUGUCAAAAGGGAAGCGUUUGACACCAGUGUUGUUUAGUUGAAAAUCAAUUCAAUAGUUUUUGAUUCUAAGUAGUAUUGACUUCAUCAGCUUGCUGCUUUCUUCUCAGAAAUUAUUGAAUGCACUUUACAGUUAACAAGUCAACAUCAAUUUCUUUUGUUGUAAAAGGGUAAGAGGAAGGUGGCUUGCGCUUCGGCUCAAGUGUUUAUAGCCUUUUAUCUCUGCAAUCGGAGAGAUUGAGGUCUGCAGCGUAGAUCCUUCGGGGUUAGAUACAUUGGUGCUAAGCUAUAGCCUUGUAUAGACAACUUGUUGACUAUGCUCAGUCAUGUAGCUUACUCGCUGAUGCUAUUUUACCUACGCUUAGGAUGUUGACGAGACUGUCGAUCUC
rnacentral:rRNA from 1 species